rnacentral:tRNA from 1 species
GGUAGUGUGGCCGAGUAUAGGCAGUGAGUUGUAGCCUCACCUACUGGGGGCAGCCCCACGUUACCAAGCC